GACGAACGCUGGCGGCGUGCUUAACACAUGCAAGUCGAACGGAAAGGCCCUGCUUUUGUGGGGUGCUCGAGUGGCGAACGGGUGAGUAACACGUGAGUAACCUGCCCUUGACUUUGGGAUAACUUCAGGAAACUGGGGCUAAUACCGGAUAGGAGCUCCUACUGCAUGGUGGAGGUUGGAAAGUUUCGGCGGUUGGGGAUGGACUCGCGGCUUAUCAGCUUGUUGGUGGGGUAGUGGCUUACCAAGGCUUUGACGGGUAGCCGGCCUGAGAGGGUGACCGGCCACAUUGGGACUGAGAUGCGGCCCAGACUCCUACGGGAGGCAGCAGUGGGGAAUAUUGCACAAUGGGCGGAAGCCUGAUGCAGCAACGCCGCGUGCGGGAUGACGGCCUUCGGGUUGUAAACCGCUUUCGCCUGUGACGAAGCGUGAGUGACGGUAAUGGGUAAAGAAGCACCGGCUAACUACGUGCCAGCAGCCGCGGUGAUACGUAGGGUGCGAGCGUUGUCCGGAUUUAUUGGGCGUAAAGGGCUCGUAGGUGGUUGAUCGCGUCGGAAGUGUAAUCUUGGGGCUUAACCCUGAGCGUGCUUUCGAUACGGGUUGACUUGAGGAAGGUAGGGGAGAAUGGAAUUCCUGGUGGAGCGGUGGAAUGCGCAGAUAUCAGGAGGAACACCAGUGGCGAAGGCGGUUCUCUGGGCCUUUCCUGACGCUGAGGAGCGAAAGCGUGGGGAGCGAACAGGCUUAGAUACCCUGGUAGUCCACGCUGUAAACGGUGGGUACUAGGUGUGGGGUCCAUUCCACGGGUUCCGUGCCGUAGCUAACGCUUUAAGUACCCCGCCUGGGGAGUACGGCCGCAAGGCUAAAACUCAAAGGAAUUGACGGGGCCCCGCACAAGCGGCGGAGCAUGCGGAUUAAUUCGAUGCAACGCGUAGAACCUUACCUGGGUUUGACAUGGAUCGGGAGUGCUCAGAGAUGGGUGUGCCUCUUUUGGGGUCGGUUCACAGGUGGUGCAUGCCUGUCGUCAGCUCGUGUCGUGAGAUGUUGGGUUAAGUCCCGCAACGAGCGCAACCCUUGUUCACUGUUGCCAGCACGUUAUGGUGGGGACUCAGUGGAGACCGCCGGGGUCAACUCGGAGGAAGGUGGGGAUGACGUCAAGUCAUCAUGCCCCUUAUGUCCAGGGCUUCACGCAUGCUACAAUGGCUGGUACAGAGAGUGGCGAGCCUGUGAGGGUGAGCGAAUCUCGGAAAGCCGGUCUCAGUUCGGAUUGGGGUCUGCAACUCGACCUCAUGAAGUCGGAGUCGCUAGUAAUCGCAAAUCAGCAACGCUGCGGUGAAUACGUUCCCGGGGCC
rnacentral:rRNA from 1 species